UUUUUUUUUUUUUUUUACAAAUUUAGUUUUAUAAAACAUACUUUUCUCCUGUUUUACUAAAAAGUUAUGCAAAGAUUAAAAACUGCUUUGUGUUUUUCUCUUUAAUUAAAUAUGUGUUGGAAUUAUAUUGCAGCUUGAUGUCUUUGGAAAAGUCAGGUGGGGUUUAUUUCUAUUGAAAAGAUGUAUAGUUUAAGAGAUGCCAGUGUUUCAACAUCAAUUAUCAGAAUAAACAUAUCUUAACUCUGACUUCUACUGGUAUGUUAUACAGAAGGUUUUUUUCAUAGUUAUUUCUUACCUGAUUGAAGGAAACUCAAAAAGACCCAUUGGUAUUAAAAACAAAUACUUCACUGAACUGGAAAAACUGCUGAUUAUCAGUCCUGGGGUGAACAGCCACUGCAUUUAGUUAGCCUCACCAUUGAAAAAAUUUUUCAUCUUAUAAGAUGAAUUAUAAUUUUUGUAAGACUAUAUAAUAUGCUCAAGUAAUAAACCUUAUUGUUUCAUUUUAAAACACAAAUUUAAGUAUAGAGACGAAUAGUUUGAUGAGCUGCACAGAAAGGGAAGACUGGAAAGAAAAAUUUUUUUUGCUUGCAUUAUACUUCUUUUUUUUUGUCUCUUUAGGGCCGCUCCCCUGGAUAUGGAAGUUCCCAGGCUAGGGGUCAAAUCGGAGCUGUAGCUGCCAGCCUACAUCAGAGCCACAGCAACGCGGGAUCGUAGCCACGUCUGAAACCUACACCACAGCUCAUGCAAUGCCGGAUCGUUAACCCACUGAGCAAGGGCAGGGAUUGAACCCACAAACUCAUGGUUCCUAGUCGGAUUCGUUAACCACUGUGCCACGAUGGGAACUCCCUGUUUGUACCUCUUAAUCCCUUAUCCCUAUCUUGCUCCUCCCCCCUUCCCUCUCCCCACUGGUAAAUACUACUUUGUUCUCUAUAUUUGUGAGUCUGUUUCUUUUUUUGUUAUAAUCACUCUUUCAUUUUACUUUUUGGAUUCCACGAAUAAGUGAUAACAUUCAGGAUUUCUCCUUCUCUGUCUGACAUAUUUCACUAGGCAUAAUAUCCUUCAGAUCCAUCCAUGUUGUUGCAAGUGCCAAAAUUUAAUUCUUCUUUAUGGUUGAGUAGUAUUCCAUUGUCUGUCUGUCUGUCUAUCUGUCUAUCUAUCUAUCUAUCUAUCUAUCUAUAAUCUAUCAAUUUAUCUCUCUAUAUCUCACAUCUUUAUCCAUUCAUCUGUGGACACAAGUUGUUUUCAUAUUUUGGCAAUUAUAAAUAAUACUGCUAUAAACAUUGGGAUGUAGGUCUUUUUGAAUUAGUGUUUUUGUUUUCCUUGGAUAUAGACAAGGAGUGAAAUUGCUGGGUUAUAUGGUGACUCUAUUUCUGUUUUCCACAGUGACUGCACCAAUUUACACUCCCACCAACAGUGUACGAAGGUUCCCUUUUCUUCAUAUCCUUGCCGCAUUUGUCAUUCGUGUUCUUUUUGAUGAUUGCCAUUCAUCAUUCAUCCAGGUGCAUGUAUCUUUUUGAAUUAUAGUUUUCUCCAGAUAUUCGCCCAGGAGUGGGAUUACUGGAUCAUAUGGUAACUAUUUUUAGUUUUUUAUGGAAUCUCCAUAUUCUUUUCCAUAGUGGCUCCAUCAGUUUAAAUUCCCACCAGUGGUGAUGAGGGUUUUUUUUCUCCCCAUCCUUGCCACCAUUUGUUAUUUGUGGUCUUUUUGAUGACAGCCGUUCUGACCAGUGUGAGGUGAGAUACCUCAUUGUAAUUUUUAUUUGCAUUUCUCUGAUAAUUAGUGAUGUUGAGCAUCUUUCCAUGUGCUUUUUGGCUAUCCAUAUGUCUUCUUGGGAGAAAUGUCUAUUUAGAUCUUCUGACCACUUUUUUAUUAGGUUUUUUUGGGAGGGCUAUGCCUAUGGCAUGUGGAAGUUCCUGGACCAGGGAUUGAACCUGCACCACAGCAGUGACCAAGGCUGCUGAAGUGACAGCACCAUAUAUUUAACCUGCUGUGCCAUAAGGGAAGUCCCUGGGUUGUUUGUUUUUGGUUACUGUUAUAUGAACCAUUUGCAUAUUUUGAAAUUAAGCCUUUGUUUGUUGCAUUAUUUGCAAAUAUAUUCUCCCAGUUCAUAGGUUUUCUUUUUGUUUUGGUGAUGGGUCUGUGCUGGCCCAAUUCUGGGUCUUUUGUGAUUCUAUAAAAAUUUUAUGAUUAUUUGUUCUAGUUCUGUGAAAAACACCAUGGGUAAUUUGAAUAGAGAUAGCAUUAAAUCUUAUAGUUUGCUUUGGGUACUAUGGCCAUUUUAAGAAAAUUAAUUCUUCCAAUCUAAGAUUACAGGAUAUCUUUCCAUUUCUUUAACUGUUUGAUUAGAUUGUAUUUGUUUAUUUUUGCCCUUAUUUCUUUUGCCCUAGGAGAAUUAGAAGAAGAAUGACAAACCAAGCCCAAAGUCAGCAGAGGAAGGAAAUAAAUAAAUAUCAGAGAGAAAAUAAAA
rnacentral:lncRNA from 1 species